UGACGGUACCCUUUCGAAUAAGAGGUUGCUAACUCUGUGCCAGCAGCAGCGGUAAUACAGAGACCUCGAGCGUUAUCCGGAUUUACUGGGCGUAAAGCGUCUGUAGGGGGUUUGUUAAGUUCCAAGUAAAAUCUUAAGGCUCAACUUUAAGUUCGCUUGGAAAACUAAUAAACUGGAGUCCAGCAGAGGUGCAUGGAACUUGCGGUGUAGGAGUGAAAUCCGUUGAUAUCGCAAGGAACACCAAAGGCGAAGGCAUUGCACUGGGCUGGUACUGACCCUGAGAGACGAAAGCGUGGGGAGCAAAACGGAUUAGAUACCCGUGUAGUCCACGCCGUAAACGAUGGAUACUAGAUGUUCGGGGAUUCGACCCCCUGGGUGUCACAGCUAACGCGUUAAGUAUCCCGCCUGGGAAGUACGGCCGCAAGGCUAAAACUCAAAGGAAUAGACGGGGAUCCGCACAAGCGGUGGAGCGUCUGGUUUAAUUUGAUAGUAAGCAAUGGACCUCACCAAGGUUUGACAUCCUAUGACAACCCUGGAAACAGGGCUUCCUUCGGGCAUAGUGACAGGUGCUGCAUGGUCGUCGUCAGUUCGUGCCGUGAGGUGUUCCGUUAAGUCGGGAAACGAACGAAACCCUCGUCGCAUGUUACAAAUUUCAUGCGAGACUGCUCGGGUCAACCGGGAGGAAGGCGGGGAUGACGUCAGAUCAGCAUGGCCCUUAUACCUUGGGCUACACAGGCGCUACAAUGGCCGGUACAAAGGGUUGCAAAACCGCGAGGUGAAGCUAAUCCCAUAAAGCCGGUCCAAGUUCGGAUUGGAGGCUGCAACUCGCCUCCAUGAAGUUGGAAUCGCUAGUAAUCGUGGAUCAGCCAUACCACGGUGAAUACGUUCCCGGAUCUUGUACUCACCGCCCGUCACACCAAGAGAGUUGGUAGCUCCUGAAGCGUCGCAUUAG
rnacentral:rRNA from 1 species